GAAAUGCGAUAAGUAAUGCGAAUUGCAGAAUUCAGUGAGUCAUCGAAUCUUUGAACGCACAUUGCGCCCUGUGGUAUUCCGCAGGGCAUGCCUGUUCGAGCGUCAUUUCAACCCUCAAGCUCCGCUUGGUGUUGGGCCAUGCCCCCGCGGCCGGCCCUAAAGCUAGUGGCGGUGCCGUCUGGCUCUAAGCGUAGUACAUCUCUCGCUCUAGGGCCCGGCGGUCGCCUGCCAGAACCCACACUCUUAUGGUUGACCUCGGAUCAGGUAGGGAUACCCGCUGAACUUAA
rnacentral:misc_RNA from 1 species